GAGUUUGAUCUUGGCUCAGAUUGAACGCUGGCGGCAUGCCUUACACAUGCAAGUCGAACGGCAGCACGGGAGCUUGCUCCUGGUGGCGAGUGGCGAACGGGUGAGUAAUGCAUCGGAACGUAGUCCUGGACGUGGGGGAUAACGUAGCGAAAGUUACGCUAAUACCGCAUAUUCUGUGAGCUAGGAAAGCGGGGGACCUUCGGGCCUACGCGCUCUUGGAGCGGCCGAUGUCGGAUUAGCUAG
rnacentral:rRNA from 1 species